UAGCCAUGCUCAGAUUUUUCUUCCAUUUUCCCUGAGUAUAUACACGACCCUUUCCUGCACCCAGCGUCCUGUACCCAACUAAGAACACUUUGCCUGGCACUGCUAACACGCGCAAGAACACUUCAUUGAUCCUGGCUUCCUGUUGGAAGCAAAACCAUGGGCAUCUUGGAUCACCUCUCCGAUAUGUGCAGUAUGACCCAGACAAAGAACGCCCUCAAGCCCAGGAAGAGGCGGCCACUGCAGACUGUAAACAUCAAGGUGAAGAUGGACUGUGAGGGCUGCGAGAGGAGGGUCAAGAACGCGGUGAAAUCGAUGCGGGGUGUGACGGCGGUGUCCGUGACUCCAAAGAUGAGCAAGGUGACGGUGACUGGGUACGUGGAGCCGAGCAAGGUGCUGGCGCGAGUGAAGAGCACCGGGAAGGGGGCGGAGAUGUGGCCCUACGUGCCCUACUCGCUCACCACCUACCCCUACGUCGGCGGCGCCUACGACAAGAAGGCCCCCGCCGGCUUCGUCCGCAGCGCGCCGCUGGCCAUGGCCGACCCUGGUGCACCGGAGGUCCGGUACAUGAACAUGUUCAACGACGAGGACGUCAACGCCUGCUCCAUCAUGUGACGUGGUCGACCAUCUCAGACAUCUCCACACCAGCGAUAACAGAUACGGAGUACAUCGCUACUCUACAUGCAGGCUAUGCUGCCUACUAGUUAAUCUACGCGCGUACGAUUUCCAUGAGCAUAUGAGCUCGGGAGCAGAAAAACCAGUCCGCCAAGAAUACCUUUCAAUUUUGAAGUCCAAAUCCGAAACAAAAUGAAGUAUAGUGUGGCUACGGCAUAAAAUGUUUGGAUAACAUAAUACCUGCAUUUUUUCUCUCUGUUUUGUUUUUGGGUAUGUGAAUCUACACCGUCUGCAUUUGAUCGUAAACCACAGAUAACAAUCCGAGAGCCGUGUGGUACAAAUUCAUUUUUCA